UACGUAGGUGGCAAGCGUUGUCCGGAUUUACUGGGCGUAAAGAGCGCGCAGGCGGUCGGAUCAGUCGAAUGUGAAAGCCCCCGGCUCAACUGGGGAGGGUCAUUCGAUACUGUCCGACUCGAAGGCAGGAGAGGGAAGCGGAAUUCCCGGUGUAGCAGUGAAAUGCGUAGAGAUCGGGAGGAACAUCUGUGGCGAAGGCGGCCAUCUGGACCAGCACUGACACUGAGGCACGAAAGCGUGGGGAGCAAACAGG
rnacentral:rRNA from 1 species